CUACGGGAGGCUGCCGUGAGGAAUAUUGCACAAUGGGGGGAACCCUGAUGCAGCAACGCCGCGUGGAGGAUGACGCAUUUCGGUGUGUAAACUCCUUUUAUAUGUCAAGAAAAUGACGGUAGCAUAUGAAUAAGCACCGGCUAACUCCGUGCCAGCAGCCGCGGUAAUACGGAGGGUGCAAGCGUUACUCGGAAUCACUGGGCGUAAAGGACGCGUAGGCGGGUUGGAAAGUCAGGUGUGAAAUCCUACAGCUUAACUGUAGAACUGCACUUGAAACUUCUAAUCUAGAGUAUGGGAGGGGGAGGUGGAAUUAGUGGUGUAGGGGUAAAAUCCGUAGAUAUCACUAGGAAUACCGUAAGCGAAGGCGAUCUCCUGGAACAUUACUGACGCUAAGGCGUGAAAGCGUGGGGAGCAAACAGGAUUAGAUACCCGCGUAGUC
rnacentral:rRNA from 1 species